rnacentral:rRNA from 1 species
UACGUAGGGUGCAAGCGUUAAUCGGAAUUACUGGGCGUAAAGCGUGCGCAGGCGGUUGUGCAAGACAGAUGUGAAAUCCCCGGGCUCCAACCUGGGAAUUGCAUUUGUGACUGCACGGCUAGAGUGUGUCAGAGGGGGGUAGAAUUCCACGUGUAGCAGUGAAAUGCGUAGAUAUGUGGAGGAAUACCGGUGGCGAAGGCGGCCUCCUGGCUUAAUACUGACGCUGAGGUGCGAAAGGCGUGGGGAGCAAACAGG